rnacentral:rRNA from 1 species
AUUGAACGCUGGCGGCAUGCCUUACACAUGCAAGUCGAACGGCAGCACGGGUGCUUGCACCUGGUGGCGAGUGGCGAACGGGUGAGUAAUACAUCGGAACAUGUCCUGUAGUGGGGGAUAGCCCGGCGAAAGCCGGAUUAAUACCGCAUACGAUCUACGGAUGAAAGCGGGGGACCUUCGGGCCUCGCGCUAUAGGGUUGGCCGAUGGCUGAUUAGCUAGUUGGUGGGGUAAAGGCCUACCAAGGCGACGAUCAGUAGCUGGUCUGAGAGGACGACCAGCCACACUGGGACUGAGACACGGCCCAGACUCCUACGGGAGGCAGCAGUGGGGAAUUUUGGACAAUGGGCGAAAGCCUGAUCCAGCAAUGCCGCGUGUGUGAAGAAGGCCUUCGGGUUGUAAAGCACUUUUGUCCGGAAAGAAAUCCUUGGCCCUAAUACGGUCGGGGGAUGACGGUACCGGAAGAAUAAGCACCGGCUAACUACG